rnacentral:rRNA from 1 species
CCCGCUGAACUUAAGCAUAUCAAUAAGCGGAGGAAAAGAAACUAAACAGGAUUCCCUCAGUAACGGCGAGUGAAGCGGGAACAGCUCAAAUUUAAAAUCCGGACGGUUUUUUUCCGUCCUGAAUUGUAGUUUUGUGAACGGCGCCUCGGCGGGUGCCUCUGGUAUAAGUCCCUUGGAACAGGGCGCCAUAGAGGGUGAUAGCCCCGUAAUACGACCAGAGGGCAACAUUCGUCAAUACAUCGCCGUCUCGAAGAGUCGGGUUGUUUGGGAGUACAGCCCAAAAUGGGUGGUAAGUUCCAUCUAAAGCUAAAUAAUGGCGAGAGACCGAUAGCGAACAAGUACCGUGAGGGAAAGAUGCAAAGAACUUUGAAAAGAGAGUUAAAAGUGCUUGAAAUUGUUAAAAGGGAAGCGAUUGGAGCCAGUAAUUGCCUGUGGUCGAAUCAACCAUUGGGAUUCGUCGUCCGCCUGGAUCUCGUGCGAGGGGCCAUUGCGCCUCCGUGCGGUUUGGGUUUGGCGGCAUCCGGGUGGCGUACUCCGGCUGUCAGGCGGGUCAGCGUCAGUGGAGGAAUUGGGGGAGAAGGGGGUUGGUCGAGGUACCCUGGCCUUUACGGGUUGGGGGUUAUACGUCUGGCUCAAUGAUACCCUUUCCAUUCCACUGAGGGUUCCUAUGGAACGAAAGCAGGUGCCUUCUUGGCUGGGAAGGGGGUGGCCUUGGUGUGGUGUCGGUGCGCACUGUCUGACAGUUCGCAUUGGCAUGUUCAUGUCAACCGCUGCCUCAUCCGCACUGCCUGCUAGCGAUGCUGACGAAAUGGCUUCAACCGACCCGUCUUGAAACACGG